CCUUCGUCCGGACAAGAGAGAUUGGAUCCUCCCAUCCAGACAACCUGAUAGAACGACAGUGUAUAAGAACAGGGCUCUUAGGACGCCUUUUGUCAAGUUGGGUCAUAACUCUACCCUGAGAAUUGAGAUAGAUGAUCAUGUGGUGCAAGAUAA